UACGAAGGGGGCUAGCGUUGUUCGGAAUUACUGGGCGUAAAGCGCGCGUAGGCGGUUUUGCAAGCCAGAGGUGAAAUGCCUGAGCUCAACUUAGGAAUUGCCUUUGGGACUGCGAGGCUUUGAGGACUGGAGAGGUGAGUGGAAUUCCCAGUGUAGAGGUGAAAUUCGGUAGAUAUUGGGAAGAACACCGGUGGCGAAGGCGGCUCACUGGCCAGUUUCUGACGCUGCAGCGCGGAAAGCGUGGGGAUCAAACAGG
rnacentral:rRNA from 1 species